CCGGGCCGAUAUCUCAGAAUGCUGCAGGGCUGCCGGAUUCUGGUUCACCCUAUGCUCUGACCCCAAGACUUCCUCUAAACCAAUGUUUCUUGACCCGGUCCUCGGCAGCCUCCAAACGGUCCAUGAUUUUGCUCGCUCCCAGCCCUCAGAGCCACAAUGUGGACUGUCUGGAGCAGGAGGGGGAUCCCCAUGUUACUAUUAUAUUUUGUAUGUAAUCUACCCACUCCGGUUUCAUGCUGAGGCUAAUUGGACUUGCUAAAUUGCCCGUAGGUGUGCAUGUGUGAGUGAAUGGUGUGCGAGUGUGCCCUGCGAUGGGCUGGCCCCCCAUCCUGGGUUGUUCCCUGCCUCGUACCCAUUGCUUCCAGGAUAGGCUCCGGACCCCCCGUGACCCAGUAGGAUAAGCGGUUUGGAAAAUGGAUGGAUGGAUCUAAUCUACCCUCCAGUGUUACUGAAUGCUAACUGUGAAUUGCUUGCAGUGAUGUGUCUGGAACUUCCCUUGGUACCUUGAUCCGCCUCCUGUACCCCUUAGGUCGCUACUUCAGGACCUCCUGCCGUUCACCUGGGCGUGCGAGAAGCGUGCAAACGCGGGGCUCACUGUGGCCUGGAUCGGCACCACUCUCCUCGUUGCCGACUUCGUCCCCGACAUCAACGUCAUUGGGGGCAUAAGUACCUUCUUCAUCUUCAUAUUUCCGGGUUUUCUCACCAGACUGGAGCAGUUUUAUCUUGGGCAAAUCCUGGUGGACUUUGUUUGGCUUGGACUCCUGGCAUUGCUGCUCUUAGAUGGCUAAAAUCCUAGGACUAUUAUAAAAGAGAGGAAUGCACACAACACACCUAAGGAAAACAUCUACUUCUACAGCAGCUAACAUCCAGAGUAACAUGCACUCAGGUCAAGGAAAGCAAAAACAAGGCAAAAGGAGCUGCUUCUGAUCGGCCAUUGGCUCCCACCUGGCACUGCGAUGGAGGCGACGCCCUCAGGCUGGCAUAGUG